rnacentral:rRNA from 1 species
UACGUAGGGUCCGAGCGUUGUCCGGAAUUAUUGGGCGUAAAGAGCUCGUAGGCGGUUUGUCGCGUCUGCUGUGAAAUCCCGAGGCUCAACCUCGGGCCUGCAGUGGGUACGGGCAGACUGGAGUGCGGUAGGGGAGAAUGGAAUUCCUGGUGUAGCGGAGGAAUGCGCAGAUAUCAGGAGGAACACCGAUGGCGAAGGCAGUUCUCUGGGCCGUAACUGACGCUGAGGAGCGAAAGCGUGGGGAGCGAACAGG